AUCAUGAUUUCCAGGAAGCUGGCUGUCCAUCACGGUCUAUGUAAGAUGUGUGAUAAGGAUGAUGCUUCCAAAAUACAUUUGGCUGUUUUCAGCUAAGCUGACUUCUGAGCCCUGGGGUUCCUCCAGAUGUUGGCUGGACUUUGUCCUUGCAUCUCCCCAGGCUCAUCCUCAAAAUCUGCAGUUCAUAAAGGAGCGGCCGUACCGACUCCUGGAAGGAGGAGAUUCUGAAGAUAGGGAGGAGCCUUCCUAUUCAAAAUACCUUUUAGAUUCAAUGCAUGAAAACAGCAGGCCGCGUCGCCUGCCUGCGGGCUUGUGAAGCUGGGGGAGACUUGCUUUUCCACACGAAGAGGCUGAGUCCCCGGCCGAUGAAAUGACUUGCUAGUGAGUGAUAAUGAGGAUCUUCUGACUCCAGAGCACCUGCUGCCAACUUGAAGAAGGAUGGGAGUGUCCCCGUGAUGCCCAUUUUCACACGCGAGGAAACGGAGGCUCCAAGAAGACGGGUCCACGGGAAUCGGGGUGAGAGAGAACGAGGACCUGUACCCGGUCUGCCUGACGCCGGAGCGGGAGCCUGGGACGGGCAGCCGCCCAUCAUCUUGCAGCCGAUCCCUCGCGUGGAGCAGCCGGACCCGCAUCUGCAGCUCACAGGCAGAGAGGACAGGAGAGCCGGCCCGGGGCCGCUUUGGCAAGUGCAUGCGGCCCUUCGUCCGCGGAUGAAGGAAGCCAUCCUCUGGAGUAGCGUCAACAAGCACAGCGCCUGGCCCCAGAAAGACACCGCGGGGGCCUCCUCGGACAUAUGUUCCUCUGACCGACGAGCCAUUCGGGAGCCGGAAGCGCAGAGGAAUUUGAAGGGUGCCUUCAGAUAAGGCGCUGGAAACCCCAAUAUUUGCAUGAGAGCUGGCCUUCUCCUAGCAGCGACGUCUUUUAAAGCAUAACUAAAGGUAAUUUUCAGUUGGGAAGGUUCCCAGAUCAGGAGUGCAAGGUAUGCUGAAUCAGGGGAGAGAAGCCUUGCUGUGAAGAAAAGCUCACCUCUGCAUUUCUCAGGACAAAAGCGGCCACUUGGAGCGUCUCCUGCAGCACACCGGUUCUGCUGGGGCAGGCGGAGCCCGCCCAAGGAGGCUGCUCACACACAUGUGCAACUGGCCAGUGACAAACCCGCCCUGUGCAGAGCUGGGAAGCCUGAUGAGGCUGGCAGAAAUAGAAGCUGGCUGGACACGCCGACCUGGGGAGCCCUCACGGUGGCUAGCCUGUUGAAUUUUUUCUCUUUUUCCUUUGCCUGGUAGACUUUCUCAGAGCUCGAAGAGUUCUUGAAGGUCUUCCAGAUAGCUUUCUGUAUUGAAAAUAAAGCACUAGACUCAUUA